UGGAUACUGGCAUGCAAGUCAAGGGGUCCCGCCAUUCAUAUAGCAAUAUAUGGAGGGCGGGAUACCGGCGAACGGCUUAGUAACACGUAGAUACAAACCCCAUUCACGGGCACAACCAGCCGAAAGGUUGGUUAAUUCCCGAUAGUCCCGCAAGGGUAAAGACGCAAGUCGGAAUGGGAUUGGUCUGCGGCCUAUCAGCUAGUUGGUGAGGUAAUGGCUCACCAAGGCUAUGACGGGUAGGGGGCGUGAGAGCGCGUUCCCCAGGAAUGGCACUGCGAACGGGCCAUACUCCUACGGGAGGCUGCAGUCGAGAAUCUUCGACAAUGGGCGAAAGCCUGAUCGAGCGACGCCGCGUGCAGGAUGAAGGCCUUAGGGCUGUAAACUGCUUUUCUCAGGGAUGAAUCCCGCCUUUGGCGGGAUGACAGUACCUGAGGAAUAAGGGGUUACUAACUCUGUGCUAGCAGUAGCGGUAAUACGGAGACCCCGAGCGUUAUCCGGAUUUAUUGGGCGUAAAGGGUCCGUAGGCGGUCCGUAAAGUUUUUCGUUAAAUCUCCAGGGCUCAACCUUGGAGGUGCGGAAAAAACCCACGGACUGGAGGACAUUAGAGGCUGGCGGAACGUACGGUGUAGGGGUGAAAUCCGUUGAUAUCGUACGGAACACCAAAAGCGAAGGCAGCCAGCUGGGAUGAUCCUGACGCUGAGGGACGAAAGCGUGGGUAGCGACAAGGAUUAGAUACCCUUUUAGUCCACGCUGUAAACUAUGGACACUGGCUAUUUGAAGUGUCGACCCUUCAAGUGGCGAAGCUAACGCGUUAAGUGUCCCUCCUGGGAAGUACGGUGGCAACACUAAAACUCAAAGGAAUAGACGGGGCCCGCACAAGCAGCGGAGCGUGUGGUUUAAUUCGAUGCAAAACGAAGAACCUUACCAAGGUUUGACAUGACGGAAGUAGUAACCUGAAAAGGAAACGACCUGUAAAGUCAGGAGUCGCCACAGGUGCUGCAUGGCUGUCGUCAGCUCGUGCCGUGAGGUGUUUGGUUAAGUCCUUUAACGAGCGCAACCCCUAUUGCCAGUUAUAUUCUCUGGCGAGACUGCCUCGCAAAACGGGGAGGAAGGUGGGGAUGACGUCAAGUCAGCACGGCCCUUAUACCUUGGGCUACACACACGCUACAAUGGGUGGUACAAUGGGUAGCAAUAGAGCGAUCUGGAGCAAAUCCUAAAAGCCAUCCUCAGUUCAGAUUGUAGGCUGAAACUCGCCUGCAUGAAGGCGGAGUUGCUAGUAACCGCAGGUCAGCAUACUGCGGUGAAUACGUUCUCGGGCCUUGUACACACCGCCCGUCACGUCAUGAAAGUCGGUAACAC
rnacentral:rRNA from 1 species